CAUUUUGUAUGCAUUAGUAUUGUUAAUCCUUGUAAAAAUUCCACAAGGUAUUCUCUCUUUGCGAGAAGAGGAAACUGAGGACCCAAAAGGUUAAAUAAUGUUCUUGGGGCCAUACAGCUCGUGAGUGUUAAGACCAGAAAACUAGUCAUAAAAGACGUUCUUUGCAUUAUCAGUGUAAUCUCUUUGUGAAGAGGGUGGGUGGUUUUAAUAAUGUUGGCUGAAGAAUUUUAUGGGAAACAAUUCUAUCACAUGUGCAGAAAUGCCUCAGCCCACCUCUGAAUUAAAAUAUCUAAUCUCAAUAGGACAGUUGCUCUAUGGAGGAGCAUACCGGAAAUAGGAUCAUGAAGGCCCCUUCAGAGCCCCUGCCCCAUGGUUGGUUGUGAAUGAGGAACCCACGGAUACAGAAGCUGACUGCGCAAACCUUUGUGUUCACGGAGGUGACUGAAUGCAAGGAAUGAAUGACUCUGAGGAAAGCUGAGAGUGGGCAGGGAAGGGUGGAGAUCUGUGUUUGAGGGAAAGCCAAACAGGAAGUUUCAAGUCUGGAGUUUGCGGAGAAGCCCUGGGUUUCGAGGCAGAUGGGAGGCCAGUCCUGGAUCUGCCACUGGCCAGCUGUGUGACCUUCAGCAAGUUACAUAA